CCCCAUCUACUUACAUCAGGUGAAAAAAACAAUAUUCAAAAGAAAAAGUGAAAACAGAAGAACCUUCUCCAGUUCAAUUUCUCUGGCGCAACCUAACGGAUCCACUGUUACGUAAGUGAUUUCUGUUUUUCGCGCUUUGACCGAGCCACAAUGUCAGAAAGAAAUGGAAAGAACUUAAGGGUGAUUUUUGUUGUUGCAGAGAAAAAAAAAAAAAAAAAACACUCAAUCGUCAU
rnacentral:ribozyme from 14 species